AUACGGAGGAUCCGAGCGUUAUCCGGAUUUAUUGGGUUUAAAGGGUGCGUAGGUGGUUUGAUAAGUCAGCGGUGAAAGUUUGCAGCUUAACUGUAAAAAUGCCGUUGAAACUGUCGGACUUGAGUGUAAAUGAGGUAGGCGGAAUGCGUGGUGUAGCGGUGAAAUGCAUAGAUAUCACGCAGAACUCCGAUUGCGAAGGCAGCCUACUAAGCUACAACUGACGCUGAGGCUCGAAAGCGUGGGGAGC
rnacentral:rRNA from 1 species